AUACGGAGGGUGCAAGCGUUACUCGGAAUCACUGGGCGUAAAGCGCGCGCAGGCGGCCUGAUAAGUUGGAUGUGAAAGCCUACGGCUCAACCGUAGAACUGCAUCCAAAACUGUCAGGCUAGAGUGUGGGAGAGGAAGAUGGAAUUAGUUGUGUAGGGGUAAAAUCCGUAGAGAUAACUAGGAAUACCAAAAGCGAAGGCAAUCUUCUGGAACACUACUGACGCUGAGGCGCGAAGGCGUGGGGAGCAAACAGAAUUAGAAACCCUGGUAGUCC
rnacentral:rRNA from 1 species